CAGGUCCACUCUCCACUCUCAAAUAGUGGCCAGAAUCUCUACUCUUUUUUUUUUUUACAUCUUAUCUCUACCCAACCACUUUUUUGUCAUGGCCCGACACAUUGGACUUGGAGCAUCAAACGCGUCUUUUUUAAACUGGUGUUGAGAGGUAAACAAAAAAAAAUUUGCUAGUUUGCUUUCUUUGCCUAUAUUAACACCAUCUACAAAGCCAUCGUCUUCAACUUGCUCCUGUCUAUGGUGUGUAAUAGAUGAGAGAAACGGAGAGUCUUAGCAAGUCUUUGGAGAUGGGAGAGUAUGCAAGAAGGAAAAAUUCAUGAUUUAAUAUCCCUUCUUGCCUACUCCUCCCAUUCCAUCUGCUUUCUGCGACUCCUCUCUUUCCUUAUUCUAGACAAAAGCGUGAUCUAAAAUUAAUCAAGGAGCAAGAGGGAAAGGAAAGAGGGUUGCUGGGAGUUACGGGUAUGGGAGGAUUGGACAGGACUGCUUGGUUUUAAUCAACCAAAGUCUGUUCUUUCCAACGCCUCCCAUACCGGUGAUCUCCAGCUGUUUCCUCCCUUUCCCUUGCUUGUCCUGCUUCAGAUCCUUCAGUUUGGUAAGAUCUGCCCCUGUAUGCAUGUCGUUGGUCUCAUGAUGAUGAUGAUGAUGAUGGCUGUUCUUUUGUUGUUUAAAAAAAAAAAUCAUUUCGUUUACUUGUUAAUCUUGCUUUUACUCGGGAUCAUGUUAUAUGUCUUGUAGAAAAAUUUUUUUUGCCCUUUUUUUUUGUUCAGGUGACGGAACCGAGUUGUUGGUUAUGGAGUAUCGUUGAGAAGAUUAGAGGAAGUUAUGAUCUGUUGGUAGAUCUGAGUAAAUCAUUUGUCAAUCCAGCUAAAUUUAAUAUUAUCAACUGAUAAAUCAUGUGUUUUGAUAUGACAACUGUGAUAUUCACAACAUAUCUGUUCACGCCUCUCCUAUUCGGGGGAUGCUGUCCCGUCUAGUUCUAUACUGCACUGCUUAGUUAACUCUGAUGUGACUUGAUCUGAUCUGUGAAUUUGGAAUGUGAUUUGAGCAUCUGUGCACGCGUUUCGCCUAUUAUGGAUGACCCCACCCUGAUUCAUACUAUAUGUGGGUGAGACCAUAUCAUACGGGUGUGGUCAGCUUUGUUU
rnacentral:sRNA from 1 species